ensembl:lncRNA
GUCAUUUUCAGCCUUCUGACUGGAUGUGUGCAGAUAGCUCAUAGCAGCUGUUAAUGAUUUACAGCCCUGAUUUAACUCCAGGUGAGAUUGCAGAGCUGCCCUCGUUGCAGAAGGAAGCAGCUGAGGUGUGCAGCUCCCAAAGCAGCUGUGCCAUGGGACAGCUCUGUGCCCCCUGCACUGCUCCAUCACUGCCCAUCCCGUGCUGGGCACUGCAGUGGGGGUGAUGGAGCCCAUCCGUCCCACUGUGGAGCACUGCUGAGCACUAUGGAGUCACAUCCUUGUAUGCAAUUACCAUAUUCUAUCACUUAAAUAUUUUCCUGGCUAAUUUCUUCCUGUCCCAGCUUUGAAAAUACCCGGCUUAUAACCAUUAAGAACUUACAGACUGGAAAAGUACACAAUUCCAAAGGAUUGGUUUAAUGCUUAAAAUCAACUUUUCUUUGUGGGCUUAACCUGUUACCUUUUGCAGGAUUUACAUUUAUUUAUUUUUUCCCCCUUUUCAGCCAGCAGCCCUAAUGCUGUGAAUACCCGCAGCUGCUGCAGCUCUGCCUGCUGGAUGGUGCAGUAACGUGGAACCUUAACAACAGGAAGAAAAAAACUUUACCGUGGCUGCCCUAAAAACUCCACCAGACACAUUCAAGAAUCCCUCCUCAGAAAAGCAAAUGACUUCCCACAGCCUAAAGUAAGGUGCUGGUUACCUGCUGGCGUUUAUCCCCCUCUGCUUGCAGCUGCCCUGGCUGAGCGCAGCAGGAGAGCCUGGAGUGAUGGGGCAUCACUGCUGGGAUGGGGCUGCUGCACGGCACAGCACUAUUCAAAUUUAUCAGCACCAAAAGACACCUGCAGAGAGGAGACAGAGGCCCGGCAGCAUGCUGGCUGUGUCCCACUGUGGUGCUGUGGGAUGGGAGCCGAUGGGAGCCGGGUCUGCUGAUGUUAGGAGCUCUCCCUUCCCCACACAGCUCCAGCCCUGGCUUGACAAAGCCCUGCUGUAAUGCAGUUGUUGUGCUCCGAGGGGAGCAGGAAGACUGUGGAGUUCUUCCAAGAAUUUUUCAAUUUCCACAGAUGAAAAUAUAGUCUAAACCAGAUGCCAGCUGAAACGCACUCACUUCGUACCACCUCGCCAAGGCAGCGCGCCACGGGCUCAGCAAUGUGACCUUUAAAAUGGCCUUUCUAGAACACACUGCUAAGAGCACUUUCUAAAAAGCCACAAUUGCAGCUACUCUUAUUACUCAUAAUGUCUUUGAUGGAGAGGAAUACUCAGGGAACUUCAGCUUCAGCAACCCGGUAGAGUCAGUUCUGUGCAGCGGAGGCUUCCUUCGUGGCAUUACAGACUUGAGACCACGAUGAGAGCGUUGGUGAUAAUGAACAUUUCCUAAAGCAUUACUUGUAUAAGAUUAAAAUGAAAUAAAAGCAGUGAAACCUUUGCUUUGCCCAUGUGAAAGAAUGGCUCUGCCACUUAGCCAUUCGUUCCUAGAAGUGGAUAUGUAUACCUGUGCCUUCUCCAUGUAUUUGUAAGUCUAACAAAUAUUAUACACACAAAUAUACACCAAUGUUAUGCAAAAUGCAUUCAGGCAAUGUAUUUCAAAUCAAUGAAUAUUUUGAGUCAUCAGCCUAAAUGGUGUUUGUAGAUGCAUAAUUGCAUGCUACUUUCUGGGAUUUUUUGUAGUAUUCUGAGUGGCGCUGAGCCGCCACUUCAUUAAAACUGUCCCUUGGGAUCCAAUUCUUUGGGUUUGUUUUUGCAUGUGCCAGGAAAUUUGGACCCUGAUUUCUGUAUGGCCACCACUGCCAUGCUGGUGCACUGCCGGCCGGCGGCACUGUGUGGCACUGCAUGGCCCUGGUGGGCACAGGGAGCAGAAUAACAUGAGAUCCAGUUUGCUUUGGUCAGUCUGGGAGAGACUUCACAGCAGCAGUGAUGGGACACUUUAGAGUUGGCUGAGUGGAGUUUUCCUAUCAUUUCUGAACCUUCUGUCCUUAAACUGAUUCAACUAAAUAUGUGACAUUUUGAGGAAAACUUGCCCUGUGUCUUUAGCUUCUUUCAUACCAGACAGGGUGGGAACAAGAUAAGUUUGCUUAAAAGCCUUUGUUUUCACUCACUUCUCUACUUGCUUGGUGUCCCAACACACUGGUAUUCAGAUUUGUCACCUCACAGGGCCUUGGUUCUGCCAGAACUCCUGCCUCUGGCUACCAGCAGUGGGAUAUUGAAGGGUUUGAGCUGCUGUCAUCAAGCAGCAACAAACUUACUGCUUUAAUCAGCUCCUUUCCAUGCGAGAUACAACUUGCUGAGCUCCGUGGUUCCUAGAGGUAAUGCCUCAUUUCCAAAAACUCCUGUUUCUGACCAUUGCUGUGGUUUCCCUGGAGUGGGACAGCCAUCCUUGCUCAGUCCCUGCCCCAUCAUUGCCCUGCCCAGCAAUACAGGGCCAGAAGCCCCACUCCCACUUCUCCUUGCACAGCCUUUGGUGGCUCAUGGGACUGCGCUGGCACUGCUGCUCUGUGCCAUGUGGUGACAGGGCUGUUAUUCCAGAGCAACCGGAUGGGGACCACCAAUUUAGUUCUCACAGACCAUGGCUUCUGGCUCUUCGAGAGCAUUGUUUUGACACUGGCAGGAAAAAAUUAGGCCAUUGUCUUUGCUCCCAUGAAAUUUCCUGUCCUCUCUUUAUGAGGUGUGUGGCUGCACAAAGUGCCUUUCUGCUCCCGCAGCAGCGAAUCUUGACACCCACAGCUUGGGCUGGUGUCCCAGGGUGGGUUUUCUUUCCGGGUUGAUUUGGGAUUUUUGCCCACGGAAAAUGAAUGAAUGAACAAAUAAUUUGCAGCUGUCCGAAUGGCCGUAACAUCUCCGCGCUCUGCCCAGAGCUCUGGAAAUGGAUAUCAGAGCUGCUCAGGGCUUUGAUGCAGUCUCUGCACCUGGGCUAUGCUCUGGGUCUGGCAUAUCCCCGUGUGCUGUCACUGCCCUAACACAGUGCAGUCAAGGCUCUGGUAUCCUCUGUUCAAAUAACUCAUCUUCUGCAGUGUGCACACUAUGCAACUCAGCAUUCCCUGUUUGAUAAUGAAGGUCAAACCCAAAAGCAACUGGUCAAUUUUGGUCUCAUCCUUUUUAUUCCUAACAAAGAAGCAGCAGUACCUGCAGGCCCAGAGCGUGGUGUAAGCUGGUGUGAUGCUCUCCUUUGCUGUGUGUAAGGACUGCUGAUGCCAGCAGGUAUCUGGUGCAGAUGAGUGCAUUCACAUGGAAGCCCAUGUGCAGCUCUGCUGUGCCGGGUAAUUGUGGGUCACUUGGUUGGCUCUGUAAGGUCUCACCAUGUAGGAAUAAGCACUCAAAGGAGCGGACAUUUGCCUGCUUUCCAUACUACAGGC